GCGAGUAUGGCAUAAUGGUUGUGCACCACCUUGCCAAGGUGGAUAUCCGGGUUCAAUUCCCGGUACUCGCUCCA
rnacentral:tRNA from 1 species